rfam:Thalassiosira oceanica strain CCMP1005 To_g20207, whole genome shotgun sequence.
CAACAGGAUUUUCUCAAAUCCACCCAACCUAUACCUCCGCUUAGCC